AUGGAUGCGGAUCUGGUACAAAUGCAGAAGAGGUUGGCUGAUUACAAGAACGCCAUGUUCAAGGAGGGGAUUCUGGAUUCUCAAUACUAGGAACUUCAUGAACUGCAAGAUGAGAGCAACCCGGAAUUUGUAGUGGAAGUGGUGUAUCUUUUCCUCGCUGAUUCUGAGAAGCUGCUCGAUGAUCUCUCCAUAGAUCUAACUCAGCAAAAUGUGGACUUCCAACGGGUUGAUGUUCAUGUGGACCGGUUAGAGGGCCAAAGUCGUAGCAUUGGAGCACCGAGACUUAAGAAUGCCUGCAUAGCCUUCCGCCACUUCCGCAACACAUGUCAGGAGACAAACAUUCCUGUGUGA